rnacentral:rRNA from 1 species
UACGCAAGAUACUAGCGUUAUCCGGAAUUACUGGGCGUAAAGCGCACGUAGGCGGCACUGUAAGUUGCUGGUGCAAUCCCGGAGCUCAACUCCGGAACAGCCUUCAAGACUGCAGAGCUGGAGUAUGCGAGAGGUGAGUGGAAUUCCGAGUGUAGAGGUGAAAUUCGUAGAUAUUCGGAAGAACACCAGUGGCGAAGGCGGCCCACUGGAGCAUAUCUGACGCUGAGGUGCGAAAGCGUGGGGAGAAAACAGG